rnacentral:rRNA from 1 species
AUUGAACGCUGGCGGCAGGCCUAACACAUGCAAGUCGAGCGAGCGGCGGACGGGUGAGUAAUGUAUGGGGACUGCCCGAUAGCGGGGGAUAACUACUCGAAAGAGUGGCUAAUACCGCAUACUAUUGGAGGGCCCAUAUCGGAUGAGCUCGUUGGUGUGGUAAAGGGUCACAAAGGCAACGAUCCCUAGCUGGUCUGAGAGGAUGAUCAGCCACACUGGGACUGAGACACGGCCCAGACGCCUACGGAGGCAGCAGUGGGGAAGAUUGCACAAUGGGCGCAAGCCUGAUGCAGCCAUGCCGCGUGUAUGAAGAAGGCCCUAGGGUUGUAAAGUACUUUCAGUCGGGAGGCGUUACCGACAGAAGAAGCACCGGCUAACUCCGUGCCAGCAGCCGCGGUAAUUC